rnacentral:rRNA from 1 species
GAUGAACGCUAGCGACAGGCUUAACACAUGCAAGUCGAGGUGCAGCACGGUGUAGCAAUACAUUGGUGGCGACCGGCGCACGAGUGAGUAACGCGUAUGCAACCUACCUAGCAGAGGGGAAUAACACGGCGAAAGUCGGACUAAUACCGCAUAAAACAGGGGUUCCACAUGGAACUAAUUGUUAAAGAUUUAUCGCUGAUAGAUGGGCAUGCGUUCCAUUAGAUAGUAGGUGAGGUAACGGCUCACCAAGUCUACGAUGGAUAGGGGUUCUGCGAGGAAGGUCCCCCACACUGGUAAUGAGACACGGACCAGACUCCUACGGGAGGCAGCAGUGAGGAAUAUUGGUCAAUGGGCGAGAGCCUGAACCAGCCAAGUCGCGUGAAGGAUGAAGGAUCUAUGGUUUGUAAACUUCUUUUAUAUGGGAAUAAAGUGAGGAACGUGUUCCUUUUUGUAUGUACCAUAUGAAUAAGCAUCGGCUAACUCCGUGCCAGCCGCCGCAGUAA